UCAAGCUAAAAAGAGCGCAAGGGGAAUGCCUUGGCAUCAGGAGCCGAAGAAGGACGUGACAAGCUGCGAUAAGCUGCGGUGAGGAGCAAAUAUCCUUUGACCCGCAGAUCUCCGAAUGGGGCAACCCGGCUGGACAAUAUCCAGUCAUCCUGCAUUGAACAAAAUAGGUGUAGGAAGGGAACCGUCUGAACUGAAACAUCUAAGUAGGACGAGGAAGAGACAUCAACCGAGAUUCCGCAAGUAGUGGCGAGCGAACGCGGAGGAGGCCAAACCGGAGGAUUAAUUCUCCGGGGUUGCGGACAGUCAUUUAGCAGAAGAUAUCUAACCGAAGGGUCUGGGAAGGCCCACCACAGAGGGUGAGAGUCCCGUAGGUGAAAGAGAAGGCUGUGAGACUGAAUCCAGAGUACCGCAGGACACGUGAAACCCUGCGGGAAACAGGGGGGACCACCCUCCAAGCCUAAAUACUACCUGAUGACCGAUAGAGGAGCAGUACCGUGAGGGAAAGGUGAAAAGGACCCCGGGAGGGGAGUGAAAGAGAACCUGAAACCUUGUGCUUACAAGCACUCAAAGCCCGUUAAAGGGUGAUGAGGUACCUUUUGUAGAAUGGUCCGGCGAGUUAUUGUUACUGGCAAGCUUAAGGCAUUCAGUGCCGGAGGCGCAGGGAGACCGAGUCUGAAUAGGGCGUAUGAAGUCAGUGGCAAUAGACCCGAAACCGGGUGACCUAUCCAUGGGCAGGUUGAAGUGGGGGUAAAACCCCAUGGAGGACCGAACGCACGCCCGUUGCAAUGGUCGGCGAUGACCUGUGGAUAGCGGUGAAAUUCCAAUCGAACUCGGAGAUAGCUGGUUCUCCCCGAAAUAGCUUUAGGGCUAGCGUUGGCUUAGAUUACCGGAGGUAAAGCACUGAAUGGGCUAGGGGCCGAUAAGGUUACUGAACCCUAUCAAACUCUGAAUGCCGGAUAAUUGAUGGCCAGCAGUCAGUCUACGUGAGAUAAGUCUCGUGGACAAAAGGGAAACAGCCCAGACCCACAGCUAAGGUCCCAAAGAUACGCUAAGUGGAAAACGAUGUGGAGUUGCGAAAACAACCAGGAUGUUGGCUUAGAAGCAGCCACUCAUUAAAAGAGUGCGUAAUAGCUCACUGGUCGAGUGACUCUGCGCGGAAAAUAUAACGGGGCUAAGCGUAACACCGAAGCUUGGGCUGCACAGCAAUGUGCGGGGUAGGGGAGCGUCGAAUAUGGGGUGAAGUCGCAGCGGAAGCAGCGGUGGACUGUAUUCGAGUGAGAAUGCCGGAAUGAGUAGCGAGAAUUAUGUGGGAAUCAUAAUGGCCGAAAAUCUAAGGUUUCCUGGGGAAGGUUCGUCCGCCCAGGGUAAGCCGGGAGCUAAGGCGAGGCCGAAAGGCGUAGUCGAUGCACAUACGGUUGAAAUUCCGUAGCCACCGAACCUUAAGUACACUGACACAUGGAGAUAGCGGGACCCGGGCGUUGGUUGACCCGGGCGUAAGGGACCGAACUAUAGUAGGGAAGUCCGCGAUGCUCUGUGGCGAGAAAAGGUGUAUGGUAUGCUAAGGUGCCCGUACCGCAAACCGACACAGGUAGAUGAGGAGAGAAUCCUAAGGCCAACGGGAGAAGGGUUGUUAAGGAACUCGGCAAAAUGACCCCGUAACUUCGGGAUAAGGGGAGCCUCCUACGGGAGGCCGCAGCGAAUAGGCCCAAGCGACUGUUUACCAAAAACACAGGUCUCUGCUAAAUCGAAAGAUGACGUAUAGGGGCUGACGCCUGCCCGGUGCUGGAAGGUUAAGAGGAGAUGUUAGCCGCAAGGCGAAGCAUUGAAUCGAAGCCCCAGUAAACGGCGGCCGUAACUAUAACGGUCCUAAGGUAGCGAAAUUCCUUGUCAGGUAAGUUCUGACCCG
rnacentral:rRNA from 1 species